rnacentral:rRNA from 1 species
CGAGAAAGCCCGCAAGGGUGAGUACAGCGGCGCACGGGUGCGUAACACGUGGGUAAUCUGCCCUGGAGCCCGGAAUAACCUCCCGAAAGGGAAGCUAAUGCCGGAUGAGCCCACGGGGUCCUUGGACCCUGAGGGAAAAGGUGGCCUCUGCAUGCAAGCUAUCACUUCAGGAUGAGCCCGCGGCCCAUCAGCUCGUUGGCGGGGUAACGGCCCACCAAGGCUACGACGGGUAGCUGGUCUGAGAGGACGAUCAGCCACACUGGAACUGAGACACGGUCCAGACUCCUACGGGAGGCAGCAGUGGGGAAUCUUGCGCAAUGGGCGAAAGCCUGACGCAGCAACGCCGCGUGUGUGAUGAAGGUCUUCGGAUCGUAAAGCACUGUCGCGAGGGACG